rnacentral:rRNA from 1 species
UAAGGAAUAUUGGUCAAUGGACGCAAGUCUGAACCAGCCAUGCCGCGUGAAGGAUGAAUGCCCUCUGGGUUGUAAACUUCUUUUAUCUGGGACGAAACCCCUGUUUUCUAACGGGAUUGACGGUACCAGAGGAAUAAGCACCGGCUAACUCCGUGCCAGCAGCCGCGGUAAUACGGAGGGUGCAAGCGUUAUCCGGAUUCACUGGAUUUAAAGGGUGCGUAGGUGGGUUGGUAAGUCAGUGGUGAAAUCUCCGUGCUUAACAUGGAAACUGCCAUUGAUACUACUGAUCUUGAAUUUUCUGGAGGUAAGCGGAAUAUGUCAUGUAGCGGUGAAAUGCUUAGAUAUGACAUAGAACACCAAUUGCGAAGGCAGCUUACUACAGCGAUAUUGACACUGAUGCACGAAAGCGUGGGGAUCAAACAGGAUUAGAUACCCUGGUAGUCCACGCCCUAAACGAUGGAUACUCGACAUUUGCGAUACACAGUAAGCGU